UGUUUAAUUACCAUUUGUAAGAGAAUAUACACAAAGAGGAUUUUAAGGAAGGAGAUUAUUCUUUGGGGACACAUACCUUUUAUUAACAUAACGUUUAUUGACAGAGAUGAAGGGGCUCUGCAAAAAUACAAACAUGCAUAAAUCUCAGCUUUGACCAUAAUAAACUUAAUGUGCAGGGAACACUAGCAACACACAACUAAAAUGGGACCACUUACAGGGGAAAACUUGGCAA